UCACACAGGAAACUUAGAGUUUGAUCAUGGCUCAGGACGAACGCUGGCGGCGUGCCUAAUACAUGCAAGUCGAGCGGGUUUAUCCUUCGGGGUAAGCUAGCGGCGGACGGGUGAGUAACACGUAGGUAACCUGCCUUUAAGACUGGGAUAACUAUCGGAAACGAUAGCUAAGACCGGAUAACUGGUUUUCUCGCAUGAGAGAAUCAUAAAACACGGAGCAAUCUGUGGCUUGAAGAUGGGCCUGCGGCGCAUUAGCUAGUUGGUGAGGUAACGGCUCACCAAGGCGACGAUGCGUAGCCGACCUGAGAGGGUGAACGGCCACACUGGGACUGAGACACGGCCCAGACUCCUACGGGAGGCAGCAGUAGGGAAUCUUCCGCAAUGGACGCAAGUCUGACGGAGCAACGCCGCGUGAGUGAUGAAGGUUUUCGGAUCGUAAAGCUCUGUUGCCCUAGACGAACAGCAUGAGGAGUAACUGCCUUGUGUGUGACGGUAUAGGAGAAGAAAGCCCCGGCUAACUACGUGCCAGCAGCCGCGGUA
rnacentral:rRNA from 1 species